rnacentral:rRNA from 1 species
UACGUAGGGGCCAGCGUUGCUCGGAAUUACUGGGCGUAAAGGGUUCGUAGGUGGUGCGGCAAGUUGGGAGUGAAAUCUCUGGGCUUAACCCAGAGGCUGCUUUCAAAACUGCCGUGCUCGAGUGCGAGAGGGGUCAGUGGAAUUGCAGGUGUAGCGGUGAAAUGCGUAGAUAUCUGCAGGAACACCCGUGGCGAAAGGCGGCUGACUGGAUCGCAACUGACACUGAGGAACGAAAGCUAGGGGAGCAA